rnacentral:rRNA from 1 species
UAGCGAAGGGGGCUAGCGUUGCUCGGAAUCACUGGGCGUAAAGCGCACGUAGGCGGCUUCUUAAAGUCAGGGGUGAAAUCCUGGAGCUCAACUCCCAGUAACUGCCUUUGAUACUGAAGAUCUUGAGUUCGGGAGAGGUGAGUGGAACUGCGAGUGUAGAGGUGAAAUUCGUAGAUAUUCGCAAGAACACCAGUGGCGAAGGCGGCUCACUGGCCCGGUACUGACGCUGAGGCACGAAAGCGUGGGGAGCAAACAGG